GACGAACGCCGGCGGCGUGCUCAACACAUGCAAGUCGAACGAUGAAGCCGGAGCUUGCUCUGGUGAAUUAGUGGCGAACGGGUGAGUAACACGUGAGUAACCUGCCCUUGACUCUGGGAUAACUGCUAGAAAUGGUAGCUAAUACCGGAUACGACCCUCGGAGGCAUCUCCAGGGGGUGGAAAGAAUUUCGGUCAAGGAUGGACUCGCGGCCUGUCAGCUAGUUGGUGAGGUAACGGCUCACCAAGGCGACGACGGGUAGCCGGCCUGAGAGGGUGAGCGGCCACACUGGGACUGAGACACGGCCCAGGCUCCUACGGGAUGCAGCAGUGGGGAAUAUUGCACCAUAGGCGCAAGCCUGAUGCAGCAACGCCGCGUGAGGGAUGACGGCCUUCGGGUUGUAAACCUCUUUUAGUAGGGAAGAAGCGAAAGUGACGGUACCUGCAGAAAAAGCACCGGCUAACUACGUGCCAGCCGCCGCAGUAA
rnacentral:rRNA from 1 species